rnacentral:lncRNA from 1 species
UCCAAGUGGCUUUGUCAUCAUACGAAAUAAUUUGGAUAGCUUGUUUUCAUAUUGAUUAGCCAAUACGGAAAGAAUUCUAUGGCUCUCUUCUUCAAAAUACUGUCUAAAUAAUAAAUUCCAAUUAUGCGACAUUUCAAAUUCAACAGCAAAAAACGAUGCCCAAGUAUCCAACAAUGGGGUUUAGCAGUAAUGAUAAGUGAACAUUGCGCUACACAAACGAACUAUUGUCUUUGAGAGGAUUUAGUACAUGUUGAAGUUAACACAGUCAAGAAAAACGAAAUGUAUCAUUAAUUAACUUCAUCACUGUGUAAAUUUUGGAGAGGCAGAUCCCAAUAAGCAACUCUCUCUCAUGAUGUAACCUUUCUUCGCAAAUUGUUGAAAAUUGUUUGGAGCUCGAGUCAUUAGUUCUAUUGUCACAUUUUGGUACUCUAUCACAACUCAUUCUGUUAGUAUCCUGAACAGUGCUGCUUGGACUUUGUUCCGAUUCGUGACAGCUUAUUUUCAUUUCUUCUGUCCAACGAAGGGUGUUAUGUUUGAUCAAAGCCUUUGCAGUGUGUUAGGUUGCAUAAAAUUAUUGUUUUCUGGACUAGCCUUGUUGCAAGGAUUAUAAUUCCAUAUUCGGUAUGGACAUCAUAGUGAAAUGAGUAUUCAUUGGUAUGAAUCGUUAGUAGAUAUAUACAUGGGAUGUAUCAAAGUAGGGACGAAUGAUGCUGGCUAGAUCAAGGGUUUUUCAUAGCUUAUUAGGAUAUUCGUUGUGUGAGGUAGGAAGCUCCUAACUUUCUGCUUGGUUUUUGGUUGUGAAACUGAGAGUUUAGGAAAGGCACACUGAUGAUGGUGUUAACUUUAGAAGAAAACGUUUGUAAGAUUUGUGUUUUUUUCUUCUGACAAGAAUAUGUAUGCUUUCUGUUAAUGGAUAGGAUUUGUGACCUGUGUCUUCUCUUCUCCCGGCUGUCUGACUUACAUGCAUUUUUCAUUGGUUUCUCUCGUUGUAUCCGGGUUGUUAUGGUUCCUUUUCGGUUAAUUUUUUUUUUGUUUCGACUUGUUUUUUUUUUCAUUUAUGCUCUAAAUGUUUUUCCUACCAUCUGCGCUGCCUUACUGAUUACUUGUUAAUCCAACUUGUGUCUUGGUAGCACCAAUUGCACGAUGGAGGAUUCUUUUGUGACUAUAGAGUUCCUUAGAG